GAAGGCUAUUCCAUGCAUCCACUACCCUCUCAGUAAAGUAAUACUUCCUGAUAUUAUUUUUAAACCUUUGUCCCUCUAAUUUAAGACUAUGUCCUCUUGUUGUGGGACAUAGGGGAAUCAGGGUUCCAUUCCAUACAGGGACCCUGAGAAACAGCUACCACAUGCAAGGAAGGCAGCAGGCGCACAAAUGACCCACCCCUGAUGCGGGAAGGUAGUGAC